rnacentral:rRNA from 1 species
GACGAAGGGGGCUAGCGUUGUUCGGAAUUACUGGGCGUAAAGCGCGUGUAGGCGGUUGUCCAAGUUGGAUGUGAAAGCCUUGAGCUCAACUCAAGAAAUGCAUUCAGGACUGGGCGGCUAGAGGACCGGAGAGGAUAGUGGAAUUCCCAGUGUAGUGGUGAAAUACGUAGAGAUUGGGAAGAACACCAGUGGCGAAGGCGGCUAUCUGGACGGUUUCUGACACUAAGACUCGAAAGCGUGGGGAGCAAACAGG